UACGUAGGGUGCAAGCGUUUAAUCGGAAUUACUGGGCGUAAAGCGUGCGCAGGCGGUUUUGUAAGACCGGUGUGAAAUCCCCGGGCUUAACCUGGGAACUGCAUUGGUGACUGCAAGGCUUGAGUGUGUCAGAGGGAGGUGGAAUUCCGCGUGUAGCAGUGAAAUGCGUAGAUAUGCGGAGGAACACCGAUGGCGAAGGCAGCCUCCUGGGAUAACACUGACGCUCAUGCACGAAAGCGUGGGGAGCAAACAGG
rnacentral:rRNA from 1 species